GUCUACGGCCACACCACCCUGAACUCACCCGAUCUCCUCCGGUCUCGGAAGCCAGGCAGGGUCGGGCCUAGUUGGUACUUGGAUGGGAGAAAAACAGCCUGACAGUGACAGUGGCCC
rnacentral:rRNA from 1 species